rnacentral:rRNA from 1 species
UACGGGGGGGGCAAGCGUUGUUCGGAAUUACUGGGCGUAAAGGGCCAGUAGGCGGCCAACUAAGUCGGAUGUGAAAUCCCCAGGCUCAACUUGGGAACUGCAUCCGAUACUGGAUGGCUUGAAUUCGGGAGAGGGAUGCAGAAUUCCAGGUGUAGCGGUGAAAUGCGUAGAGAUGUGGAGGAAUACCGAUGGCGAAGGCAGCCCCCUGGGGUAACACUGGACGCUCAUGCACGAAAGCGUGGGGAGCAAACAGG